rnacentral:tRNA from 2 species
GGGCCUGUAGCUCAGCGGUUAGAGCAGCGGACUCAUAAUCCGUCGGUCGGUGGUUCGAAUCCACCCGGGCCCA